rnacentral:misc_RNA from 1 species
GGCCCAUUGGUUCUCCCUACGAACCUCCUCCUCUUCCUCGGGUGUAAAGUCGUUCUUGAUGUUAAAUGUCUUGCGGAUCUCCUCAGGAGUCUUCCCCUUGAUCAUGUCAGCCACCGUCUGACAAGUCAAAUCAAGCAAGCUUUUGAUGUUGAGGUAGUUUGCAGCCAGAAUGAGAUCGAAUAAGGUAGCCUGGUCGACUUUGACGAAUUCGCUGUCCCAAGUCUUGAGGUCGUCGUCAACGGAGCCAGUACGAUCCUCCGGCUUAGGGGACUCGACAUGCUUCUUGCAGUACUCGAUAACCUUGGACAAGAUCUUGCUGUUGACGUUAGGAAGGGGAAUUCCACUAUCGGCGCAAUCGUCUUCGAUCAUGUGCUUGAUCGUCUGUGACUCCAAGGCCACCGCUUCGUCGACCUCGAAGAUCUCGCCGUCGGAGCUCUUCAAGGUGAUUUUCCGGCCAGAAGACAUGGCGGCGUGUUUCGGUUUCUAGAGGAUUCGGUGAGGUCUGAAAACCCAGAGAGAAGCUUUGCGAUUUGCGAAAGAGAAAGAAAAUGUUAGAAUCUGAC